rnacentral:lncRNA from 1 species
AUAACUGUAGCAGAAUGAGAUAUCCACUUAGGAGAGUAAAAUAGACAAUAAUGUCUACUAUCUUCUCCAAUUUAAAAUUUAAAUUCUAUCAACUGUAACAUCAAUUGUCAUGAUCAUAUCAAAUAAUCAUUCUUCUUUGCACCCAAACCAAAAAAACUUUCACUACGUGUCUUUGCCAUAAAGGCUAAAAACAUUCAACAACUAUAUUGUCCUUGCACCUGAGCAAAAUAUGUU